CACAGCAGAACAAAAUCUUGAGCUUGACUUUCCGUGUCUUCCCAGAGAUUCAGGCAGAAAACCAAACAAUGAACAAGAACCACAUUACCGUACUGUGACUAUCGUAAGACUGUCAUUGUCUCUGUGCAUAUUCAUCAUUGCUUUAUGUUUGCUUAUUCACCACAUCAAGACAGAGGUCCAGAAUGUGAAAAAACAUUGAGAAAAAACUCCAUAUCUUGGAACACAAUGGAAAAUUCACCUCAAUAUUGAAACGAGGAAUACUUGGAGAAUAUACAGCAAUUCUAAAUUUGGAAGUAUUUCUAGCAAUGAUCAUAACUAUGUUUUAUGCUAAGCAUUAGCUUUGGGACCCAAUAUUUAAAGGAACACUCUUGGCAUCAUAAUAGGUUUAUCAAAACUAAGUUGUUAUGGUGCCAGGAGUUUCCCAGGAAUAUUCAUACAAAGGUUGCCUCUAAUGUCGAAUCUCCAAUUACUCUAAUGCAUCCAGGUUCUGAAACUGACUUGUAGGAAGUGCGGAGUACCGCUGAGCUGCUGAGUGCCAAUUUGUAAAAAACAAAACAUAUACGUACCUUUUGUAUAGAUACA